rnacentral:rRNA from 1 species
UACGUAGGAGGCAAGCGUUGUCCGGAAUCACUGGGCGUAAAGCGCGUGUAGGCGGAUCGCUAAGUCUGUGGUGAAAGCGCCUGGCUUAACCGGGCGAGGUCCAUGGAAACUAGCGGUCUGGAGGCCGGUAGAGGGGGGUGGAAUUCCGGGUGUAGUGGUGAAAUGCGUAGAGAUCCGGAGGAACACCAGUGGCGAAGGCGGCCCCCUGGGCCGCGCCUGACGCUGAGAAGCGAAAGCGUGGGGAGCGAACAGG